rnacentral:rRNA from 1 species
AGAGUUUGAUCAUGGCUCAGAGCGAACGCUGGCGGCAGGCUUAACACAUGCAAGUCGAGCGGGUGUAGCAAUACAUCAGCGGCAGACGGGUGAGUAACGCGUGGGAACGUACCUUUUGGUUCGGAACAACCCAGGGAAACUUGGGCUAAUACCGGAUAAGCCCUUACGGGGAAAGAUUUAUCGCCGAAAGAUCGGCCCGCGUCUGAUUAGCUAGUUGGUGAGGUAAUGGCUCACCAAGGCGACGAUCAGUAGCUGGUCUGAGAGGAUGAUCAGCCACAUUGGGACUGAGACACGGCCCAAACUCCUACGGGAGGCAGCAGUGGGGAAUAUUGGACAAUGGGGGCAACCCUGAUCCAGCCAUGCCGCGUGAGUGAUGAAGGCCCUAGGGUUGUAAAGCUCUUUUGUGCGGGAAGAUAAUGACGGUACCGCAAGAAUAAGCCCCGGCUAACUUCGUGCCAGCAGCCGCGGUAAUACGAAGGGGGCUAGCGUUGCUCGGAAUCACUGGGCGUAAAGGGUGCGUAGGCGGGCCUUUAAGUCAGGGGUGAAAUCCUGGAGCUCAACUCCAGAACUGCCUUUGAUACUGAAGAUCUUGAGUCCGGGAGAGGUGAGUGGAACUGCGAGUGUAGAGGUGAAAUUCGUAGAUAUUCGCAAGAACACCAGUGGCGAAGGCGGCUCACUGGCCCGGUACUGACGCUGAGGCACGAAAGCGUGGGGAGCAAACAGGAUUAGAUACCCUAGUAGUCC